AUAACAGGCACUGCAAAGCACUGGGAAUAAAUCUGCUCCUCCGAGAGUCCGCCGGGGUGUUCAUCUCUCACCUUGUUUUUCCUUUGCUUAAUAAGGUACUGUGUGAGCUUAGAGUUGAGAUUUGACUUGCCUUUUUUUUUUUUCCUUAAUGUGACCCAGGCUGAAUGAAGUUUGAUGUUUUGAGGGAUUGCUUUUUUUUUUUUUUUUUUUUCAUUUAAAUGACAAGAACAACAGGAGAGAGCAAGAAGAUACCAACCAAGAAACUGGCGUUGCCCAUUGCUUUCCAGGAAGACCAGGAGGAUUUGUGCUCUCUAUCUGGACAGAUUCCCGAGCUAUCAGGAGGGGAGGUGUGCGGAGACCAGCCAGGAGCGCAGUGUGCCCAGCUCCACGUGCCUCCCACCGGCAGCUCUCGCCUGCCCAGGCACGCAUGGAGCACGCCGUGCUGCUUGAGAGUGUACGAAACCACCAGGCAUCAUUCCCUCUUCACGCGGGGAGAUGAAGCAGGAGGAGCUGCUCACCACGUAUAAAUGUCUGUAGAGCAAGAACUGCUAUUAGUGUGUCAGUUUUUGAAGUCUUGCUUUAAUCAGUGUGCUUUUGUAAGGGCCUCAGAAACUGCUCAUACUCUUGGCAUCUUCUGUUUUCCCUGCAUAGCAUGUUUAUAUCUACAAUUGUGGUUUUCUUUCUAGUCCUUUUUUUUUUUUUUUUAAUCAUCCCUCUGAGGACAACCCUUGAUACUUCUUGCCCUGAUGAUGCACUCAUCAUCUUAAAGCUGUGUAAAACAGAUCUAAAAGGCACCGUAUCAGGUCGUGUGUUUGUCCCGUUGGGUAGCUGCCUUGCUAACGCUGCUCGAAGUCAGCAGGCAGGUCGGUGUCAAAGAUAAAUUAAUAAGAUAAUUGACCACACAUUCAAAUUUUUUGGAGUCAUUCCACAUUUUAGAGUAGGCAUUUGAUCAGAUCUGCUAUUGUAGUUUGCAUUAUGUGUUUUACUCUUCCUAAUGCUACUCUUCAUGCAUCUAAGUCUGAUCAGCUUACUAGACACCAAUGUAAAUUGCUUGAGUUGGGUGAAUUUACUUCAGUUCUGCCUGACAAAUCAGACUGAGAGUGGUAUUCUCGCUAUUUUUAAAAUAUCUGGGAUAGGUAGAAAUAACUGGCAGCCCUUCAGUGUGUCUCCUUAAAAUUUCUCUUUGCUGCCAUCUCUUCCCUCCAACACCUAACAAAGCACCAUGUUCAGGUCAUCUUUCAGCCCCUUCUUCUCUCAGGUAUGUGACUGUUCUGUUUGCUGUCUGUGAAAUGGUUUGAGCUCAUCUAGGGAAGCCAAAGUAUUUUUAUCACAACUGUAGAUGUCUGAAUUCCAGCAAGGGUCUCAGUACUUUCCAGUACACUUGCAAAAAAAAAAAAAAGGGAGGGAUGGGAUGGCAGGAAGGAAGCUCCAUCACGGCCACCUUCCUUUUGUAUCUGCUCACACCACCCUAUGGUCACUCAGGCCCUGGCACCAACCUUUCAAACUGCUCCCAUCUGCUACUGCAAGCGAUGUGAGUGCUUGCAGGCACCGUGGUGUGCUUGCAUACCUGCUACCUGUCCUGUCCCAUGCCUGGGGGAUGCAUCCAGCGAGCAGUGUUCCUCUCUUGCUGUAUUCCAAACUCAGCUGGAUUUACCUAAGCCUGCUGUAUCUGCUGACACAGGUACGGUUGCCGGCAAUGUGGACAGCGGCAGGUAGACAGGUGCAAGUAUCGCAGAUUAGGAAAGCCGCUUUAAAUUUAAUAGCCGAACAGUUGGUUAGAGUUGAAACAAUCCCAACGGAAAUAAUCCUCCUGCAUGUAAACCAAGUCUACAAAGGAAAAUGCGAUGUCGCUGCCGGCGGCCCCGAUAAGGCAGGGCGAUGCUGAGGAUUUCUGGCCGAGCGCUGGUUUGCCAUGGAGGCUGCACGUCUGCAGCCAUGGCUGGGUCUGUCCCCUGAGCCCUGCUGAGGGGAGACCUCCGCCCGUGCCAGCAGCAAAGCCAAGACGCCGAGAACUUUUAUUCCCUGGAGCUGCUGAGAACCCAAGGUGCUUUGCAUUUCAUAAGAGCAAGGGUGUUAAUUGCUGGAUGCGUGCAUGUGUCUCUCCUGUCAGCAAGGGUCAGCUGCCCGUACCGUGGGCUUGUGCACCUACAGGCAUCCGAUGCUCUGCUAUCACCCCCUGAAAAUGAAAAAAUAAAAGCAGAGCUCGAAGCUUAGCUAGCUGUGGUUGGGGUGCCCCAGUUUGCUGGCAUGAGGUAAUGCUGACACCUUGUCAUUUGCAUGCAUGUUCUACUUUAUGAGGUGGUAAUGAGGCUUUGUACAGGCCUGGUGUCUCCUCUGCAGUUGUGUGUUUACCAUCACCCACAUCCUUGCUGCUUGUGAUUUGAAUGAGUAAUCCCUGAUGUUUGUUUCCAAGCAGGUGGCUCUGGCACACCCUGACUCCUGCAUUCAAAUACAAGAGAAAGGUGCAGGAAGGGGUGCCAUGACCUCAUUUCAUGGGGCAGGACGGGGCCAUCGCUCCACCAGGUAAAGGCACAAGUGGCACCACGUGAGCAUGUCUCUGGUUGCUGUAGAUGGAAGGGAUGCAUGCAACUGAAAAGAUGGAUUGCUAUGGGGCAAGCAGGUGCUCCCUAACCUUCAUUUUCACAUUAAAGACAGGUUCAGACUGAAACUCACAGCAUCAGAUUCUUGACAAACUGUUGGAAGUUCAGCCACCUGCCACAAAACAGCAUCUGGGCUUGAUGUUCCCAAAUAUUCACACCGUAAAACCUCUGCCUGUGUCACACAAAUACUAAAGCUAUGUGGCAAUGUCUGGCUGGAGCUGCGUGCGACCUUUGGACCAAUUCGGGCCCAAACUCUGCUGAGUCUCCCAAGCACACGAGUAGGUGACUGUGUGCUGUGAAGCUGAGCCGAGCUGCCCUGAGCAGGAGCAGGGCUGUGGGAUGCUCCCAGGUCUAACAGACGCACGUUCCUCCGAGCAAAAGGCUGCUCAGAGUACAGCGACCCAUGGCUGACCCUUCCAGACAUUGUCUCUGUGCUGCAUAUUCAUAGACUAAUGUUGUUUAGAGAUUGGCAAAGCUCAUUAAGUAACCUAAUUUUUACAGAUGCUUUUGGGCUGCUGCGGGUGGUACUAGUCAGUUGUUUUUUUUUUAUGAAUCGCUGUGUUACAUCCUCCCAUUCCUGCCAUGAAGCCUCCAUUUCAAAGGCCAGGCUCUCUGUGCUGCUCCGGGGGUUCCCUGUCUGCCUGGGAGAGGUGGCGACUCGGCAGCUUUUUGUCUGCUCUUUCAGCUGAGAAAAUGGAUGUGGACCUGCCACGGACACGCGCUGGAUUUUUCGUGGGGGAUGCUGUACCUGAGCCACACGGCAGGUUUAUGGAGGACCUAACUUAAGGAUCAUCGUGAAGCUUGGCAUUGUGCUAUGGAUUUGAUGAUUUUUCUGCUGGGUCGUUUUUCCUCCGUGGCUUCAUCAGCUUGCCAGGUGCAGGGUUUCGAGAAAGCAGGUAGAUGCAAAGCUGUUACAACACGCCGUGGAAGUGCGAUGGGAGGGAGACGCUUACUCACGGAGCCGUGCCGUGGGCUGGUGAUUCAGAUGCCUGCAUGCCAUCAGCCCCGCACCACGGGCUGUGCUGGGGAGGCACGAGCAGGAGGAGGGUGCUGCCGCUGCUGGUAGAGCUCACCCCUGGCACGAGGCAGUGGUGAAGUCAGGGCUGUAUUUGCACUGUCACGCGAUGCAAUUAGGAAAGAGCUGCUCCGUUGGUGGCUGCUGUCUGAACCGGCAAGCCGACAUCAGAAUUGAAACCAUCUCUGCGUGGGCAGAGAUGUUGACAGUGCCACUCGGUUGCCCAGUAGGUUCCUGAUUACAGAUUAAGCUGGUCUGAAGGGAAAAGGAAUACUGCUUGCCCUAAUGAAAAGAUACGGUUUGUGGGCGAGGAGAAGAAAACCAGAUCAUUGUUCAGAGGUUCUUUGCUGGACUGUGUCAGCUGGAAAAGCUUGGCUGCUGCUGCUAAGCCUUGACAGGCAUGUGGAGAUAAAUAGUGUGUAAGCCACUCUUCUUCCUCGUGUGAUCUUAGCUAACUGGCUUUUCCCUCAGCCUCCCUUUCUUUACCUAUAGCAUAUGCUAUGGCAGUUGAGGAAGUUGGUCAGUCAUUCCAGCAAAACAGUGUGGGAUUCUCAGCUAUUGCCGGUGUUUAGGCUGUGGUACUGGGGUUAUGUCUACAUGACCUCUUGCAGGUUCAAGACAGCCUUGACCCUGCUAACCCAGCAGCCCUGUUACAGCUCUGUUUCAUGGUGACUUGGCCAGCCUGUGGUCUGGUACCAGCCUAACUGCCCUUACCAACAGCUAUGCACAUCUUCCAGCAGCUCUGAGCACAAGGAUGUGGUUCAUACCAGCCACCAAAGCACGGUGAGCCCUUAAAAUCCAACACCCAGCAUGAAUCAGGCCCACGCACUAAAGCUGCACGGCUUUGAAAGAAGCAGUGCUUCUGCUCAGCUGUGAGCACGGGCUUUGUGCUCGGGAUCGUUCCAGAAACUGAUUAACUAUCAGAGCUUUUCAAAGCAGCUCAACAUCUCACUUGGUUUUAGAAUUCCACAUUUGAAGAACAAAGGUCUGUAUAGAGAUGAAGUGCGAUGAGGGAGAGAAUGUGAAAUGAAACUGCAUGCAAAGGGCAGAACAUUUGUCAGGGCUGCUCUGUAGAGCCAUUAGCACGGCCACCAAGCUCCAUUUACCUGUCUGGGACACGGGAGCAGUUGCUGGGCCUGUCUGAAUGUACUAGAGAUUAGCAGGGCAGGAAAACACCUGCUUCCACUUAACUGAUCCGAGAGGAAACAAAGGGCAAGAAAAGCUACGGCCUGAGCAACGCAGGAUUGGAUGAAAGCUAAUAUGCAGCUUCAGAUUGGCAGUUGGCAGCCAUAACCCUCAAUUUAAAGCAGCUGAGAGCCCCAGCUCUUUAGAUCUGAAAUCUUGCUGCUAUGAAGAUGAAAGACUUUGUUUUCCCUCCUUUUUUUUUUUUUUUUUUUUUUUUCCCUUUUUUUCUUUUUCUUUUCAUUCAACUGUGGCCAAAUGGGGAGUAGGCAGAUGGGAGUCCAGGCAAACCCAGGUGCUGAGUUGCUGCACUUGAUAAUAGGCAGCGAGGAGUGGCAGGCAACCCUGCCAGAAGGAAAGGCAGAAAUGUUCAGAUCCUUGUGCAGGAGCUCAGGGAACCCCUUCAGUUUCCCUGGGGGGAAGAUGAGGUUGAUUGGGACUCACUGAUGAGUACAGUAUAGGCUUCAGUGUAGAUGUGGGAUUGACAUUCUGGUGGUAAAGAAGGGAAUCUGGGGCUUCUCAUUGACUUUGUGUUUUGCUGCUUGGCGUCUCUGCAAGGAAGGCUUUGAGGAAGGCUUUUUAGGUUGGAUUCUCAAAAAUAAUUUAUUGAAUCAAAGAGCAUUGAAAAAGCGAGCAAAAAGGCUAGACAGUCCUUAUUUGAGGCUCAGCUCCAUGGCCUGGCUCUGUGAGCUGCGUUUCAUUCACAACACGGGCUCAGCAUCGUUUGAAGUAUGCUGUCAUUAGGCUCGUGUUUUAACUCUGUUUGCUUUGAUUGCAGCAGGAAUGCUUCUGCUGGCUGCUAACAAACUGGUUAUACCAGGGAUACCCACCACAACGCCGCAGACCAGGCCCCUUGAAGGCUGCUGUGCAGUGAUUAAAGGAAUGGCCCCUGGCCUCUCCUGGGGCUCUCUUCAGUGCCAGGUUCAAGGGUUUUUAUGGGUGUGCAAGGGAGGGUACCUUACCUUUCCCUUGUUCACCAGCGUGUGCCCUAUGGAAGCGUAAUUUAAGUCUGGCAAAUUGAAUGGUUGGCUCCAAGUUAGCAUGUUUGCAAAAAGGGAAAAACAGAAGGCAAGGUUUCUAAGAUUAUAAAACUUUCUUUCCCUGUUCAAAUAAGCAUGUGUUAGCCUGACUUGCCUGCCUACCACUUCGGUCAUCUUCAGAGCAGUAAAGAAACAGUGAAACGUACCCAUGACCUUACACAGCACCACUGGCAAAACGUGUUUUAGCUGCAGAGUGUUUGAUUGCAUGCAAGCUGUCCCUCCAGGUUGUUGUACCUCUCCGAAGGCUGCAAAGAGCAGUACGCUUCUCCCCUCCUCCUUUGCUUGCUUAACUUGUUAAGACAUGGAAGGUUACUCCUGCUAUGACUCCUAUUCCUGACCUGACAGGUGGUGCCUUGCACUGAACUUUGCUCUCACAAACGCAGUUGGGUUUCACGUAUCAGCCUCCACUUUAGUGGGCUCGCCCAUCUGCACAGAAUUUGGUAAUUCUAGCAAGGUGUGCUGCUGCAGCCGUCCCUGGUGCGGGGCUGGGGAGCGCUGCUGAGCGCUUGCUGCACAAACAAACAGGGGUUGGGGAUGCCACGCGUUUAAUCUCACGCCUGUAGCUCUGUACGUUGUGCAAUGAGCUGCUGAGCGCAGGUACGAAGAUGAAAGAGGUGGAGGUGAUGCAGGAAGCGAUACUGCUGUCUGCAGCCCGCAGAUGAAAGGAGUGAGCACCUUUAUGGAUCUGCCCCAGUGUGACCCCUCGGUGCAGAGCUGUGCUAGGAACAAAAGAGCUGUAAUAUUGGAUCAGAAGUCCAACGUGCUUGGCAGCCUGGUUUCCAGAACUACAUAAUAUGAACUUACUGGAAAAAAAAAAAAAAAAGAUAAAAAAGUGCUAAGAGGAAUGGCUGUGAGAUAGUUUGGUGAAAGGAAAUGUUUAUUUUUGACACAAGAAAUGCUACGUUUGAACUGUGUGGCAAGGAGCAUUUGCCUCGUUUCUUUCUUUAUCCCAUCUAAAACUGUGGGCGUGCCCCUAUAGCCAGGGUUAGUGUGUUUUCAUCUAUCUGAGCAUUUGCUUCCUACCAAAAUUUUGGUGUCAGUGACAUCCUGUGGUGUAGAGUUACAUUAAUUGGGAUGGUUUUGGGGGGCAAGAUACCUGUGUGCUUCAGUUUAUCUGCAUUUACCUGAGGAGGAAUUAUUAAUGUGAGGAUUUGGUUUGCUGCCAAGUGCUCGUGGCCCAGAUGUAGCCCAUUUGUUCUGAUAACAACAGAAAUGGACGUUGCAGUAGUAGGUGUAACAAGUUGCAUGUUAAUCUUGUUAAAUAUGAAAAUUAGGUAAUAAGGUUUUCUCUGGUGUACUUCAUGAAGAUUUAUAAAGUACAGAGCCAACAUCUUCAGCAUCCUAACAGUGUGCCAGGAAUUAAAUUUUAUUUCAAGGAUAGUUUAUAUCUCUAGUUACAAAUAAAUAAAUAAAAUGGGCAAGUGUUUGUCCAGUCUAGUGGUGUUACGUUGUGUGCUGGGUUUUGCUGCUGUGAUAGGGUCAAGCUUAUAAGAGCAGGAGGAAGCAUUUGCAUCCCUGGAGCACAAAGAAGGGGUUUUUGUAUGUAUGGACUGCAGACGUGGGGAAAAUGCUAUUUGCACAAGCUCCAAAUUAGUUAAUUUAUCUGUGUAGCAGUUUUGGACCUGCAUUUGAAUCUCUCAGAGUCUGACAUGGGGUACAUGCUGCUGAGCUAGUUUUCUGGCCAAUGGAAUGAUGGAAAUCUCUCAGCAGCUUGCUUUCAAAGAUCAUAAAGCCCUUGAGAAGCCUCACCUCAGCAUACAGGGGAAAAGACUCGUUUACUAUUGCUGCAUUAGAAGAGAAUAUGAGAGGCUCAACAAGCCAGAUUGUUAUAUAGCACCAGCAGGUCCUGUAUGGCUUAGUCCUCUGCUGCAUUAUACGUAUGCCACAAAAUGUUGCUUCUGCUUAAUGUUAUAAAUCAUUUAUUGAGGACUUGUGCACUUCUGAGUCCAGCUGAUACAGGACUAUUUCUGAUCUAAACAGGCUGUUAACUUUUGAAGAAUAUAAGUGAAAAUUGUUUUUAAUUUCACAGUCUUAUGUGGCAACAUCGUCCACUGGCUGUCAGUGGUUUUACUGGCUGAAAUAGGAAGGUAAGGGAAAUCAGAGCAGUGGGCUGGAAUGUAAUAGCUUGGAUGUUCUGGCUCUACAACAGAUUUUUCUGUAUGAUUUCAAGCAAGUCACUUCAGUUUUCCUAAUCUCUCUGGUUCAAUUCCUCCGAUAUAAAACAACAUUCUUUACAGAUAUCUUGAACAUCACGACUUUUGUAAGGUGUGCAGACAGUGCAGAUGGGCUGAAAGAUAUCCAAGACACUAAGCCCAGACUCGUUCCACAGACAGAUCAGUGGUCAGUUGCGUUACCAUAUGUGAGGUUUUCAAGGGGAAUCUUUUAGAGAUGUCAAAGAAUUUUGUAAACCAAAUUAGCAUAACUCUCUCAUUACAGAUGCUGGGUAAGUCUCCCUGAUUUGAAGCUUCUCCUAUGUUUGCAACAAGGUACAACAGCGACGUACAGAUUGGACUGAGAUGACAGAGACGUGUUUAGCGUUACCAUCAAGCAAGUAUGUCAUAUGUAAAUAGUCUUCGUUUGCAAACAAAUGGCCCUUGUGUACUAACCAAGGCCAGAGUGCAGUUUAUUGCAGAUAAUAAGUAAUUUCUUGUUGUGAUAACAGAGAGGUUCAUUUGCAGUCAUUUCUCGUCUUUUUCUGUGGAAAGAUAUGGUUGCCUUAUUCCAUCACAAAACUCAGUUCUCUGUGUUGCCUGUCAAGGCCAGCUAGAAGCCAGCUAUAGGUGAAACAGUUCAGAAAAAAACAGCUG